rnacentral:rRNA from 1 species
UACGUAGGGUGCGAGCGUUGUCCGGAAUUAUUGGGCGUAAAGAGCUUGUAGGCGGUUUGUCGCGUCUGCUGUGAAAAUCCGGGGCUCAACCCCGGACUUGCAGUGGGUACGGGCAGACUGGAGUGUGGUAGGGGAGACUGGUAUUCCUGGUGUAGCGGUGGAAUGCGCAGAUAUCAGGAGGAACACCGAUGGCGAAGGCAGGUCUCUGGGCCACUACUGACGCUGAGAAGCGAAAGCAUGGGGAGCGAACAGG